rnacentral:misc_RNA from 1 species
GAUGAAGAACGCAGUGAAAUGCGAUAAGUAAUGUGAAUUGCAGAAUUCAGUGAAUCAUCGAAUCUUUGAACGCACAUUGCGCCCAUUAGUAUUCUAGUGGGCAUGCCUGUUCGAGCGUCAUUUCAACCCUUAAGCCUAGCUUAGUAUUGGGAAUCGACUUUACUGUCGUUCCUCAAAUUCAACGGCGGAUUUAUAGCAAUCUCUGAACGUAGUAAUUUUUUUCCUCGUUUUUGAAAUACUAUAAACCUCAGCCGCUAAACCCCCAAUUUUUUUAUGGUUGACCUCGGAUCAGGUAGGAAUACCCGCUGAACUUAAGCAUAUCAAUAAGCGGAGGA